UGUCAAUGAUUCUAAGACCGCUAGGCGCUUGGUAGAUGCAGAAUAUCAAUAAGCUUAAGAGAAGAAACCAACCAGGAUUCUCACUAACGGCUAGUGAAGAGGGAGAAGCCCAGUACCGAAGCCUGCGGCAUGUUUUUCGGUAGGCCAUGUGGUGUGUGGGAUGGCUGGCGGGACCGCCGCUCCACUCGAAGUCCAGCAUUAAGUAUGGAUGUGAGUGAAUUGGCCCAUAGAGGGUGAUAGGCCCGUAUGAGUGGAGGCUCAGGCAGGUGAGGCGGUACACCAGGCCGGCUCAUGAGUCGGGUUGUUUGAGAUUGCAGCCCAAAGCGUGUGAUAAACUCCAUCCAAGGCUAAAUACAGACACGAGUCCGAUAGCGGGCAAGUACCGUGAGGGAAAGUUGAAAAGUACUCUGAAGAGAGAGUAAAGAGUGCGUGAAACCGCGUGCAGGUAAGCGGGUGGCGUCAAGAUGCUAGCCGGGAGAACUCAGCUGGCUGCAGUGUAGUGUGCGCGCCUAUUGCGUCGCCGUUAAUGGGCCGGAGAGUGGUGGUGGUCUGCUCCGUGUGGAGGAGCGGAGCACGACUGUGAUCGCAGGCCGCUGUUUCUCCUUCACUAAGCCGCCGUCUAUACUGUCUGCCUGCCUAUCUAUCUAUCCGCCUGUGUGUCCACCUAUCUCUCCUUUGGUGGGUGGACUGGUGGUUAGGUGGGUGGGUGCGUGCGUUGGAUUGUUCACCCACUAAUAGGGAACGUGACCUGGGUUUAGACCGUCGUGAGACAGGUCAGUUUUACCCUACUGAUGGGCACAAUGCGUGUAAUGAGCGAAGUGCAAGCUGAUCGUUGCUAUGGUAAUCCUGUUCAGUACGAGAGAAGCCGCAGGUUCAGACAUUUGGUACAUGUGCCUGGUCGAUCGGCCAAUGGUGCGAGGCUACCAUCUGAGGGAUUAAGACUGAACGCCUCUAAGUCUGAAAUCCAUCCAGAGGUGCAACGAUAUACUGCGCCCUUCCACAUGGUGAGGCAGCUAUAGCACUUUCCAUUCGCACGCAGCUAGUGUGCUGCGGGGUCCGCCGAUGGUCUGGCUGGUAGUGCGAGGCCAGAGCGUGGACCACAACCACGUGUAUCGGAUGGUCAUGGUGCUGCGUAGGGAUCGAUACGAUAUCCAAUUUUGAAUGAGUGUGUAGGCACUAAAGCGUUUGUAGACGACCUAAUAUUUGUUGGGGAGACGUGAGUACUCAAGCAGCUAUCACACUGCGAGGUGUUGAGUCCUAUCCCUACUUGACGCUAUGAUUUGC
rnacentral:rRNA from 1 species